AAUAGAUACCCUGGUAGUCCACGCCGUAAACGAUGGAUACUAGCUGUUGGGGGCAACUUCAGUGGCUAAGCGAAAGUGAUAAGUAUCCCACCUGGGGAGUACGAACGCAAGUUUGAAACUCAAAGGAAUUGACGGGGGCCCGCACAAGCGGUGGAGCAUGUGGUUUAAUUCGAUGAUACGCGAGGAACCUUACCAAGGCUUAAAUGCAGACUGACCGAUUUGGAAACAGAUCUUUCGCAAGACAGUUUACAAGGUGCUGCAUGGUUGUCGUCAGCUCGUGCCGUGAGGUGUCAGGUUAAGUCCUAUAACGAGCGCAACCCCUGUUGUUAGUUGCCAGCGAGUCAUGUCGGGAACUCUAACAAGACUGCCAGUGCAAACUGUGAGGAAGGUGGGGAUGACGUCAAAUCAUCACGGCCCUUACGCCUUGGGCUACACACGUGCUACAAUGGCCGGUACAGAGGGCAGCCACCUCGCGAGGGGGAGCGAAUCUAUAAAGCCGGUCACAGUUCGGAUCGGAGU
rnacentral:rRNA from 1 species